ACUAGGUGUGGUGGUGCACACUUGUAGUCCAGCUACUUGGGAAGCUGAGGCAGGAGGUUUACAAAUUUGAGGCCAGCCUCAACAAUUUAGCAAGACCCUGUCUCAA
rnacentral:sRNA from 1 species